GGCGGGACACGUGGUAUCCUGUCUGAAUAUGGGGGGACCAUCCUCCAAGGCUAAAUACUCCUGACUGACCGAUAGUGAACCAGUACCGUGAGGGAAAGGCGAAAAGAACCCCGGCGAGGGGAGUGAAAAAGAACCUGAAACCGUGUACGUACAAGCAGUGGGAGCCUCUUUAUGGGGUGACUGCGUACCUUUUGUAUAAUGGGUCAGCGACUUAUAUUCUGUAGCAAGGUUAACCGUAUAGGGGAGCCGAAGGGAAACCGAGUCUUAACUGGGCGUUAAGUUGCAGGGUAUAGACCCGAAACCCGGUGAUCUAGCCAUGGGCAGGUUGAAGGUUGGGUAACACUAACUGGAGGACCGAACCGACUAAUGUUGAAAAAUUAGCGGAUGACCUGUGGCUGGGGGUGAAAGGCCAAUCAAACCGGGAGAUAGCUGGUUCUCCCCGAAAGCUAUUUAGGUAGCGCCUCGUGAACUCAUCUUCGGGGGUAGAGCACUGUUUCGGCUAGGGGGCCAUCCCGGCUUACCAACCCGAUGCAAACUACGAAUACCGAAGAAUGUUAUCACGGGAGACACACGGCGGGUGCUAACGUCCGUCGUGAAGAGGGAAACAACCCAGACCGCCAGCUAAGGUCCCAAAGUCAUGGUUAAGUGGGAAACGAUGUGGGAAGGCACAGACAGCCAGGAUGUUGGCUUAGAAGCAGCCAUCAUUUAAAGAAAGCGUAAUAGCUCACUGGUCGAGUCGGCCUGCGCGGAAGAUGUAACGGGGCUAAACCAUGCACCGAAGCUGCGGCAGCGACACUAUGUGUUGUUGGGUAGGGGAGCG
rnacentral:rRNA from 1 species